GACGAACGCUGGCGGCGUGCUUAACACAUGCAAGUCGAACGGAAAGGCCCUGCUUGUAGGGUACUCGAGUGGCGAACGGGUGAGUAACACGUGGGUGAUCUGCCCUGCACUUCGGGAUAAGCCUGGGAAACUGGGUCUAAUACCGGAUAGGAGCCAUUUUUAGUGUGAUGGUUGGAAAGUUUUUUCGGUGUAGGAUGAGCUCGCGGCCUAUCAGCUUGUUGGUGGGGUAAUGGCCUACCAAGGCGGCGACGGGUAGCCGGCCUGAGAGGGUGGACGGCCACAUUGGGACUGAGAUACGGCCCAGACUCCUACGGGAGGCAGCAGUGGGGAAUAUUGCACAAUGGGCGCAAGCCUGAUGCAGCGACGCCGCGUGGGGGAUGACGGCCUUCGGGUUGUAAACUCCUUUCGCUAGGGACGAAGCUUUUGUGACGGUACCUAGAUAAGAAGCACCGGCUAACUACGUG
rnacentral:rRNA from 1 species